UACGGAGGAUGCAAGCGUUAUCCGGAAUGAUUGGGCGUAAAGCGUCCGCAGGUGGCAAUGUAAGUCUGCUGUCAAAGCGUCUGGCUCAACCAGAUAAAGGCAGUGGAAACUACAUAGCUAGAGUAAGGUAGGGGUAGAGGGAAUUCCUGGUGUAGCGGUGAAAUGCGUAGAGAUCAGGAAGAACACCGGUGGCGAAAGCGGGUUGCUGGGCUGAUACUGACGCUGAGGCGCGAAAGCCAGGGGAGCGAACGGG
rnacentral:rRNA from 1 species